CCUACGGGAGACAGCAGUGAGGAAUAUUGGUCAAUGGACGAGAGUCUGAACCAGCCAAGUAGCGUGAAGGAUGACUGCCCUAUGGGUUGUAAACUUCUUUUAUAUGGGAAUAACAUGUUCCACGUGUGGGAUUUUGUAUGUACCAUAUGAAUAAGGAUCGGCUAACUCCGUGCCAGCAGCCGCGGUAAUACGGAGGAUCCGAGCGUUAUCCGGAUUUAUUGGGUUUAAAGGGAGCGUAGGUGGAUUGUUAAGUCAGUUGUGAAAGUUUGCGGCUCAACCGUAAAAUUGCAGUUGAAACUGGCAGUCUUGAGUACAGUAGAGGUGGGCGGAAUUCGUGGUGUAGCGGUGAAAUGCUUAGAUAUCACGAAGAACUCCGAUUGCGAAGGCAGUUCACUGGACUGCAACUGACACUGAGGCUCGAAAGUGUGGGUAUCAAACAGGAUUAGAUACCCUAGUAGUC
rnacentral:rRNA from 1 species